CACGCUGUAAACGAUGAGUACUAAGUGUCGGGAAACCGGUGCUGAAGUUAACACAUUAAGUACUCCGCCUGAGUAGUACGGUCGCAAGGCUAAAACUUAAAGGAAUUGACGGGCACCCGCACAAGCGGUGGAGCAUGCUGUUUAAUUCGUGGAUACGCGAAAAACCUUACCUAGACUUGACAUCCCUGGCAAAACUAUAGAAAUAUAGUGGAGGUUACCCAGGUGACAGGUGG
rnacentral:rRNA from 1 species